UCCUCUGUAGUUCAGUCGGUAGAACGGCGGACUGUUAAUCCGUAUGUCACUGGGUUCGAGUCCAGUCAGAGGAGCCA
rnacentral:tRNA from 1 species